rnacentral:rRNA from 1 species
CCUACGGGGGGCAGCAGUGGGGAAUAUUGCACAAUGGGGGAAACCCUGAUGCAGCGACGCCGCGUGAGUGAAGAAGUAUCUCGGUAUGUAAAGCUCUAUCAGCAGGGAAGAAAAUGACGGUACCUGACUAAGAAGCCCCGGCUAACUACGUGCCAGCAGCCGCGGUAAUACGUAGGGGGCAAGCGUUAUCCGGAUUUACUGGGUGUAAAGGGAGCGUAGACGGGAAACUAAGUUAGUUGUGAAAUCCCUCGGCUUAACUGAGGAACUGCAACUAAAACUGAUUUUCUUGAGUACUGGAGAGGUAA